rnacentral:rRNA from 1 species
GACGAACGCUGGCGGCGUGCCUAAUACAUGCAAGUCGAGCGCAGGAAGCUGACGGAACUCUUCGGAGGGAAGGCAGUGGAAUGAGCGGCGGACGGGUGAGUAACACGUAAGGAACCUGCCUCAAGGAUUGGGAUAACUCCGAGAAAUCGGAGCUAAUACCGGAUAGUUCAACGGACCGCAUGGUCCGCUGAUGAAAGGCGCUUCGGCGUCACCUUGAGAUGGCCUUGCGGUGCAUUAGCUAGUUGGUGGGGUAACGGCCUACCAAGGCGACGAUGCAUAGCCGACCUGAGAGGGGGAUCGGCCACACUGGGACUGAGACACGGCCCAGACUCCUACGGGAGGCAGCAGUAGGGAAUCUUCCACAAUGGACGAAAGUCUGAUGGAGCAACGCCGCGUGAGUGAUGAAGGUUUUCGGAUCGUAAAACUCUGUUGUAAGGGAAGAACACGUACGAGAGGGAAUGCUCGUACCUUGACGGUACCUUACGAGAAAGCCACGGCUAACUACGUGCCAGCCGCCGCCGUAA